rnacentral:lncRNA from 1 species
UUUAUGUUAAUGUUCAUUCAUGUACGCUUGUACACGCUCACAUCCUAAACAGAAAGCACAGCCAAUCCUCACAAAACUCUCAUUGAUACCACCAGUUUACAAACAGACUCUCAUUGAUAUCACCAGUUUACAAACAGACUCUCAUCGAUAUCAUCAGUUUACAAACAGACAGGAAUCACAAGGCUUCUCACUUGCUGCUUGCUCCAGGAUGUUCAUGCAUACAGGCCUUGAGUAUGGAAGUUACGUCAGUGUAAGUCCUCAGUGAGUUC